rnacentral:antisense_RNA from 1 species
GUCUACGGAUCAGGAGGAGAAAGUGAGAUACUGGCCUCAUAAAGCUGUGAGUGGGCAUGGUGGCUCACACUGCCUGUGGUCCCAGAACUUAGAAGGCUAAGGCAUGAAGUUGUCAAGUUCAAUGCUAACCUGGGCUACGUUCAUGACCCCAUCUCAAAAAAAAAAAAAAAAAAAAAAAAGGCAUCUCAAUGCCAAGUCAACAGAGCAGUGGUUUGUAAGCGCCUGAUGGGAAGGAUCUACGUAUCUUUAGGGCUUGCUGAGGAGUGUGACUGUCACUGACCGAGGAGGCUGCCUUGAUGGACUUGACGGCAGCUUCAAAUACUUUCUUGGGCAAGCGAAGGUUGGUGGUCCCACUGUCCACAAUGCUCUUGUCGUAGUUGUACUGAGGAGAGAGGGGGGGAGAGGUGGGAGGGGUGAAUCUGACAGCUAAGCAUCCUACUGGGGUUGGCAUCUUAGCUUUCCCAUUUUGUAUAUGUGCGUCCUUGGGCACGUUGCUUAACCUCUGUGUACCUGUUCUCUUGUUCUAAAUUGAAGAUAAUAACAGUGCCUACCUCAAAGGUUACCAUAAGGAUUACAUAGGUCAAAAGGCUGAAAGCACUAAGUAGGUCCUGGCAGAUCCCAGGCACUUGGUAAGUACUAACUUCGUCACCUUGUGCGGGUAGGUGUUCUCUAAAUCUAAAGCAGAAAUGCCUUGUGUGGUAUUUGUAACUUCUAGUACUUUUAUGUAGUUAUUCUCAUUCACCAUACAUUAUAAUGGAGAGAAGGGUGGCUCAGCACGCACAAAGCCAUGAGCUUGAGCUCUGAUGCUGCAUGGUGGUAUAUGCCUGUAGAGAGACACUUGAGAGUCAGAGAAAGGAGGACCAGGAGUUCAAGGUCAUCUUUAGCUACCUAGCAAGUCUGAGGUCAGCGUGGGCUACAUAAGAUCCUCAAAAAAGCCAAAAAAGGGGGCUGUUGAGAUAGGUAAGGGCACCUGCUACCAAGUCUGAUGACCUGAGUUCAACCCCAGAGAGACCUACUAGUUACUGAAAAUUGUCCUCUAACCUCCAUACACAAGCUGUGGCACAUGCCCCAUCCUCAUCCCAAUAAAUGUAAAACAAAAUCUAGGGAAAGAGACCCUAAGUGUUGGCAUUUGGGUAUGCCAAGCAUAACGACUAACACUUCAUACAUUGGCUUUGACCUUUACAGUCUGUGAGAACGCUUGUGUAUUUCUACCUCUGCCUUGUAGAUGAGGAGUCUGGCACUGUAGUGAGGAGCCUGAGGGCACUUAGUAACAGCAGGACUCUAGUCAGGUCCAACCUCUGCCUCACAAAAGCCUUGCCCAAGGCUGAAGAGGCAGUGACUAGAGUCCAGAAAGGAACUCUUUCAUGUUUUCAUUACUAUACUUAAGUCAUGUGGUCCAGGCUCUGUGACUGCUCUGCCAGGCCCCGCCCUUCACCUUAGGGAUUGCCUCGUGAUCCUGUGCUUCCACCCUCAUGGCUCUCACACACUGUGAGACUCCCCUUAUGCUCACGAGAAUCCCCUCCAUCCCAUUACCUCCUUGCAGUCCAUCUUGAGAUCUUGACCAUUGAUUUCCACACGUACAAUGAUCACUUCAUAAUACCACUCCCGCCGGAUGGGUGUGUACCAGAGACUGCCCGUGUAUAGCGAGUGGUCGAUACCACCAAUGAUCUAAAAGAAAAAGAGACAGACACCUAUGUCCUAGCACAGAAGGAGAGCAAGUUACCCAAGACUAAAUAAUAAGAUCAGCCAUUUCUUGGGGUGCCAAGAUUCUCUCUAAUCUCCCAUCAUGCCCCAUGCAUGGUAAUAUUUAGUUUCCUAAAUGUGUUCAGGAGAAGAAACACAUCGGGAUUAUUUGUAUCAAAAUCUAUAGCCCUUGACCGAAAGUUAUUUAAGCCUAAGCUAGUACAAUAAACGUGGAAUGAACUGAUUGUAUGCUGCUUUCAUACAUUUUCUUGUCUUUGCUUGUUGGAGAAUACUUGUUACUGUCCUAAUUAAUAAAUGGGCUUGAACUGAAAAAAAAAAAAA